UAGGGAAUCUUCGGCAAUGGACGAAAGUCUGACCGAGCAACGCCGCGUGAGUGAAGAAGGUUUUCGGAUCGUAAAACUCUGUUGUUAGAGAAGAACAAGGACGUUAGUAACUGAACGUCCCCUGACGGUAUCUAACCAGAAAGCCACGGCUAACUACGUGCCAGCAGCCGCGGUAAUACGUAGGUGGCAAGCGUUGUCCGGAUUUAUUGGGCGUAAAGCGAGCGCAGGCGGUUUCUUAAGUCUGAUGUGAAAGCCCCCGGCUCAACCGGGGAGGGUCAUUGGAAACUGUGAGACUUGAGUGCAGAAGAGGAGAGUGGAAUUCCAUGUGUAGCGGUGAAAUGCGUAGAUAUAUGGAGGAACACCAGUGGCGAAGGCGGCUCUCUGGUCUGUAACUGACGCUGAGGCUCGAAAGCGUGGGGAGCAAACAGG
rnacentral:rRNA from 1 species